ACAAGCGGUGGAUGAUGUGGAUUAAUUCGGUGCAACGCGAAAACCUUACCUACCCUUGACAUGGCUGGAAUCCUUGAGAGAUUGAGGAGUGCUCGAAAGAGAACCAGUACACAGGUGCUGCAUGGCUGUCGUCAGCUCGUGUCGUGAGAUGUUGGGUUAAGUCCCGCAACGAGCGCAACCCUUGUCAUUAGUUGCUACGAAAGGGCACUCUAAUGAGACUGCCGGUGACAAACCGGAGGAAGGUGGGGAUGACGUCAAGUCCUCAUGGCCCUUAUGGGUAGGGCUUCACACGUCAUACAAUGGUACAUACAGAGGGCCGCCAACCCGCGAGGGGGAGCUAAUCCCAGAAAGUGUAUCGUAGUCCGGAUUGUAGUCUGCAACUCGACUGCAUGAAGUUGGAAUCGCUAGUAAUCGCGGAUCAGCAUGUCGCGGUGAAUACGUUCCCGGGUCUU
rnacentral:rRNA from 1 species